rnacentral:rRNA from 1 species
UUUUUUGGUUGUGUUGCGGGAGCUACCAUGCAGUCGAACGGUAGCACAGAGAGCUUGCUCUCGGGUGACGAGUGGCGGACGGGUGAGUAAUGUCUGGGAAACUGCCUGAUGGAGGGGGAUAACUACUGGAAACGGUAGCUAAUACCGCAUAACGUCGCAAGACCAAAGAGGGGGACCUUCGGGCCUCUUGCCAUCAGAUGUGCCCAGAUGGGAUUAGCUAGUAGGUGGGGUAAUGGCUCACCUAGGCGACGAUCCCUAGCUGGUCUGAGAGGAUGACCAGCCACACUGGAACUGAGACACGGUCCAGACUCCUACGGGAGGCAGCAGUGGGGAAUAUUGCACAAUGGGCGCAAGCCUGAUGCAGCCAUGCCGCGUGUAUGAAGAAGGCCUUCGGGUUGUAAAGUACUUUCAGCGGGGAGGAAGGUGUUGUGGUUAAUAACCACAGCAAUUGACGUUACCCGCAGAAGAAGCACCGGCUAACUCCGUGCCAGCAGCCGCGGUAAUACGGAGGGUGCAAGCGUUAAUCGGAAUUACUGGGCGUAAAGCGCACGCAGGCGGUCUGUCAAGUCGGAUGUGAAAUCCCCGGGCUCAACCUGGGAACUGCAUUCGAAACUGGCAGGCUAGAGUCUUGUAGAGGGGGGUAGAAUUCCAGGUGUAGCGGUGAAAUGCGUAGAGAUCUGGGAGGAAUACCGGGUGGCGAAGGCGGCCCCCUGGACAAAGACUGACGCUCAGGUGCGAAAGCGUGGGGAGCAAACAGGAUUAGAUACCUGGUAGUCCACGCCGUAAACGAUGUCGACUUGGAGGUUGUUCCCUUGGAGGAGUGGCUUCCGGAGCUAACGCGUUAAGUCGACCGCCUGGGGGAGUACGGCGCAAGGUUAAAACUCAAAUGAAAUUGACGGGGGCCCGCCAACAAGCGGUGGAAGCUAUGUU